AAGCAAUUUGCUCAUAGCCAUAGCUUUCUUGUGAAAGUAGGAUAUUAACCCAGGUGUCUUGGUGCUGGAGAACAGAACUGGCCAGAGUCCAUCCUGUCUCCCACCGGCAUCCCAUUACGAAAUGAACACAGAAAAGGCAGGUCUGCAAUGCCAACAUCUAGUAUCUAUCCCAAAGACCAGGGAGAAAGGAAGGAAAGAUUCUGGUUCUGUCCUCUUCCCCAAGGCAAGGCUGGCUGCCCUACCAACAGAGGCAAAGAGAAGAGUGUGCAAGGCUGGCUGCCCUCCCAACAGAGGCAAAGAGGAGUGUGUGUUGAAAUAUCCAUUGAAUCCCUGAGACAACUGGAUCCUGGCCCAUUGAAUCAUAAACUCAAAUCUCACAUCAUAACCCCAAAUGACCUGUUACUCACCAUGUGGCCCAGCUGUCUUCAAACUCACCAGCCUCCUGCCUUAGCCUUCUAAAUGCUUGGAUUACAGGCAUGACCCACCAUAACUGGCUUUGUUUUAGUUUCAGAGAAGAUGAAACUGAUGUGCGUCAAAAAGUAAACUACCCACAUUUUAACUGGGCACAUUCCUGUCAAUCUGAUGAGAAUCUAUUUCAUACCCUGCUUUAGCUGGUAGUCUGUCAAGGAAAUGAGCUGAACAUGUCUGUGUACAGCUUUUGUGCCAUCCCUGGAUGAGCGAGCUGUCUGCCUCUAUGUUCUCCACAAAAUGGAAUAUAGCUGUACACCCAAGCCAAGUUAUGGAGGCUGGGAAGACCUAGAAUGUGGCAUCACUAUUUGGUAAGAACCUUCCUAUGUCAUUGUAGAGUGAGGGACUUGGGUACCACAUGGCAAGGCAUAGUACCCAAAUCCCUUUCCUUCAUAAAAGUAUUAAUGUCAUCAAAGAGGCCCCACCACCAUGAUGCCAUCUGGGGCCUCAUGACCCCAAUGCCUGAUGCCAAAGACUCCCACCUCAAAAUACUUUUUUCUUCAGCAUAACAUUUUAUUAAUUAUCUGGGAAUUUCACAUCAUGUACUCCAAUCACACUCAGUUCCCAGUCCUUCCAUGUCAGCCCCCACCCUUGUUACUUGCCCCCCAAAAGAGGAAAAUUAAAACUAAGAAUUAAAAAAAAUUAAAAAAAUUAAAAUACACAAGUCCAAUUUAUGUUACCUAUAUACUCACUGAAGCAUGGUCAGAUUCUCAGUGGCCUGGCCCUUAAAUAGAAGUGAGUCUUCCCCCUCCUGCAUCUGAAGCCAUUAAUUGCGUAGAGCUACACUUCAACAUCUACAUCACACUUUCAAAGAGUUCUCUUCAGUGGAUUCCUGUUCUAGACCAUUACUUUGGAGACAGGGGUAGGGGAUUGUCACAAAAAGCCUUCCAUGUCCCUUCGUCUCAGUUGUACACCUGCAGUCAUCAAUAUCCCAGUGUAACUAGUCCCCUUGUUCUUCAUAGUUAGUGGAAACAUGGAUCAUGGGCCUCUCAAGGUUUCUGAUAACAUCCCAGACCAUGAACAUGGCCCUCAGGUGCAGGAGGACCACAGAUCCAGACAAAGACCAGAUCACAGCCAUAAAAAUAGCCUCAGGUGGCAGCAAAGGCCACUCAGAUUAGUAUGGCCUUUGGUGGCAGCACUAUCCAUAAACAUCAACGUAGCUUCAGGCAGCAGCACAGACUGUGAACAUCUCAUGGUCUUCAGUGGUAACACAAGCCAUGGAUAUCUACCUACAGCAGAACCAUAUAUAGAUUUGAUAAGUUUCCACACAUGAACCCAGGACACAUUUAAAUCAUGGCAGUCUACAUCCUGAUCCUUCCCUUGUC
rnacentral:lncRNA from 1 species